UGCUCGAGUGGCGAACGGGUGAGUAACACGUGGGUGAUCUGCCCUGCACUUCGGGAUAAGCUUGGGAAACUGGGUCUAAUACCGGAUAGGACCAUCGUUUAGUGUCGGUGGUGGAAAGUUUUUUCGGUGUGGGAUGAGCUCGCGGCCUAUCAGCUUGUUGGUGGGGUAAUGGCCUACCAAGGCGUCGACUGGUAGCCGGCCUGAGAGGGUGUACGGCCACAUUGGGACUGAGAUACGGCCCAG
rnacentral:rRNA from 1 species